UACGUAGGGUCCGAGCGUUGUCCGGAAUUACUGGGCGUAAAGAGCUCGUAGGUGGUUUGUCGCGUUGUUCGUGAAAACUCACAGCUCAACUGUGGGCGUGCGGGCGAUACGGGCAGACUUGAGUACUGCAGGGGAGACUGGAAUUCCUGGUGUAGCGGUGAAAUGCGCAGAUAUCAGGAGGAACACCGGUGGCGAAGGCGGGUCUCUGGGCCGAUACUGACGCUGAGGAGCGAAAGCGUGGGGAGCAAACAGG
rnacentral:rRNA from 1 species